CGAAGAGAUGAUAUUAAUAAAACUGUAUGGUGCAGAAAGUGUCUUUUUCAUUACAGUUUCUGGUGUUGGGCAACGGUAGAUCACUAUGGCUUCUGUACCGUGAAAUGAAGCUUAUGAUGAAAUACUGAUGCUUGGCCAAUCUCACCAACGGGAUAUAAUAAGAACUGAUGCAGGUUUAUAACUACAUGUAUUGUCUAUCCGGAACAAAGUUAGUACGCUUUUUAUACCGAAGUUGGAUUUUU